CACACUGAGCUGUCUUCGUGACAAUUGCAACGACAUGAGUGUCAACAGCUCAAGUGACAGUUGAUCCACGAGGCAACAGUUGUGGUUCGAGAGUUUGGUUUAUUGCAGUAAGCAAUGCAGACCCCUCAGAGAAGCGAAUAAGGCCAGGGGUAAUCAGAAUUGCUCGAGAUAGGGUAUGGUCAUAGGGUAGAAUGAGUACGCCGCCAUCCACAAUGUUACAGGAGUUGACACCUAUAAUCUCUUCUCUAGGUGGCCAAAGAACGUAAUCGGAAGAGGUGAUGAGACGAAUGCGUUCUUCGUGGUUAGGAAAAGAAUUGCCAGUGGCAUCCAGUUGUGUGAGGCGCUGACGACAAGAGAUAGAAGCAGACGCCAAGGAAGUCCCACCCCAAGAUGAGUUCAUGGGUCACUCACGAAAUACCGCAAAAACAAUGUGGUGAAGAAUUUAGUCUAUGGACACACGAACAGUACACGGUGCGAUUGGACGAAUAAUAACGUUGGCUGCUGCACAAAGAGAAAGGCCGGAGAAGCCAUCAUCUGGUGCUGUGUACAGCAAGCACAUGCUUCGGGCAAGGAGGGAGCCAGCACCAUAUCUACAUCAGCAAGAACCUCGGUGCUCAAAAUAAAAAUUUUCUGUGCAAA